rnacentral:rRNA from 1 species
CUUAACCGGCUCGGCUUGCAAGAGAAACUGACGUUCUUGGGGUCGGCAGGCGCCGAAGGGUACUCCGGAGGUAGCGGUGAAAUGCUAUAAUCUUCGGGGGACCGCCGGUGGCGAAAGCGCUCGGCGGGGCCGAACCCGACGGUGAGGGACGAGGGCCAGGGGAGCGAACCGGAUUAGAUACCCGGGUAGUCCUGGCUGUAAAGUAUGUGGGCCAGGUGCCAGACGUUCCUCGAGAGCGCUUGGUGCCGAAGGGAAGCCGUUAAGCCCACCACCUGGGGAGUACGGUCGCAAGACUGAAACUUAAAGAAAUUGGCGGGGGAGCACCACAAGGGGUGGAGCCUGCGGUUUAAUUGGAUUCAACGCCGGACAUCUCACCGGGGGCGACGGCAGAGUGAAGGCCAAGUUGAUGACUUUGCCGGACUCGCCGAGAGGUGGUGCAUGGCCGCCGUCAGCUCGUAUCGUGAGACGUCCUGUCAAGUCAGGUAACGAGCGAGACCCUUAUCCUUAGUUGCCAGCGGAUUCCGUCAGGAAUGCCGGGCACUCUAAGGAGACCGCUGUCGAUAAGGCAGAGGAAGGAGAGGGCGACGGUAGGUCCGUAUGCCCCGAAUCCCCCGGGCAACACGCGGGCUACAAUGCGCGGGACAGAGGGCUGCGACCCCGAGAGGGGAAGCCGAUCCCUAAACCUGCGCCUAGUUCGGAUCGAGGGCUGCAACUCGCCCUCGUGAAGCUGGAAUCCAUGUUUCGCGUGUC